rnacentral:lncRNA from 1 species
GUCCUCUGGAAGCACACAGUCGGGUGCGCCCAGGCGCCACGGGCCACGCGGGUCCCAGUCGGGGUGACGCAGUUCGAUGCAUGUCAUGGCGACGCCGUCAAAGCCUCGGACCAAGGGUCCAUUUUCAUCGCGUGCUACGUCUAUCGGCGCCUCAAACAUGGCGCGCAACUCGUCGCAGGUCGCCCGGUGUGUUGUGGCCGCGCGGCGCGCGAGCACAGUCGCGUUGAAUCUCACCAAAUCCUGCAUGGCGUUCGGAUCGCACUUGGCAUUGUGGUGGGCCUGCGCGAUGGCCCAUGCGAGAUCUGUUGGCUCGCAGCCACGGACCAUCCAAGCGUGACAUGAGAGCACCGUAUCGGGCAGCGCGAGGUCAUCGCCUGUCUCGGGAUCGGUCGACCGCCACACUGCGUGGGUGCGCCAGGCGUCGAGCGCCUUGGCCUCGUAGGCGCGGCCGCUCGAUAAUACGCGACAGUCAGCGGCCGCCACCAUUGUCCCGGUCAAAAAGCAACGAAUCAUUGGCGCGCCAUCCAAUCCACCGGCGACUGGAGACAGACGACCAAAGGGCACUCGGUCACAUUCGGCUAGAGUCGCGUCGCCGGUGGCAACUAUUUCCAUGCAUCCAUCGACCGAGGCCGUUCGACUUUGAAUCGCCGCCAGCAUGGCAUCAUGGUGGUCCAGUGCGCAAUCGGAUCGAUCUAGGUAGAGCGCAAACGAUCGGCCCAUGGGCGACGUGGGGUCAGACGGCACCAGGUACGACCCUCGGUCACUGUCGGCGGGCGCCGCCGUGAUCGCAUGCCACGCCCGUGGGUCGUCGAGGGUGGGAAAGAAGCGACGCCCGGCGAGCCGCCGAUCAUCGCACGCGUCCGACACGCUGAUAAAGAACGGACCACAGUCGCCGCCAAUGACGACGUCGCCCGACGGUGUGUCGAUGCGGUAGGCGGUGCCUCGGGAGCGCCUGAUUCCGUUUGCUGACAGGGCGGUCGACGUAUCGCGCGUCGACAUGGCCUUUCCGUCGCGCCGUUCCGAGGCACGCACAAUUUUCCACACGUGCGUAUCACCGUGCCAUAAAGCCUCUGCCAGGUCGCCGGAGCGAGUCCUUUUCACGCCGCGCUUUGCCACAAAGUUGCACUUGUCCGUGCCACUCUGCUUGAUCUGGCCCGAAAACGUGUGGCAAUCCGCACCAGCGUCGACGUGGAGCACUCGACCGUUCCUCCGCCCACCAGACCAUUCAGCCCAUGACAUUGAACCGCCGGGCCAUUUGUAGAUGCCAAACCCAUCGCGCUCGUCGUCGACGAACGAACCCUCGUAAAAGUGGUCGUCAAGAUACUCGGAUCCGCGACCUUGGGCACACAGGCGAACAUCAAAGUUUUGGCAGCGUGUAAUGUUGUCGACAUAUUCAAAGUCGUUGGUGCCCGCCGGCCGGUAGACGCGGCCGGGUCCGGUAAAGACGCCCUCGUGCCACGUGCCUUCACAAAUGAUCCCGUCGGCCGACGCGUGUGCCCCGUACCCGUCGAGGCGCAAUCGGGUGUCGCCCGUCGCCGGAUCGGUCACGAGGCAGCAUUCGCCACUCGUCACGAUUUUGCCGUCGGCCGACAUGAGCCUGGUGCACAGGCGCCGUGUGGUUGGAUCACGCCAGACACGCCCCGCGGGCACGGCCGCUAGCGCAUACAGCCAGCGCACGUCCUUGCCAUGCGCGGCAAAGUCAACAUGCGUGGCGGGCGGCAAGUCGCAACCGAAAUCGCGCCGGUAGGCCGACCGCCACAAGUCCUCACAACUGGCCACGCCAUAGACCAAGCGACACGUGGCGCCGGCCGCGGCCAGGCUCGGUCCAGGCAAGACCGACAGAAUGUGCAUGAGGACCUCGCACGGCAUGGUGUCCAAGGAGGCCAUUGCGUGUGGUUGGUAUUGUCGUGGGCGUCGUCGUCGUCGUCGUCGUUGUUGGUUUGUCGCCAGCGCGAUGGCGGCAGUCUUUUCGCAUUUCUUUCGUCUCACCCGCGCACCAACGGGCAGCCGACACUUGUAAAAAAGAACAUCCACCAACGACAAAAAAGGGCGCCUAAAUCGACGACCGAGCACAAAAAAAGAC